rnacentral:lncRNA from 1 species
UAAGCCUCAUGCUACCACCAAAUGGAGAUUCAGAAAUGUCACCUACAAAGAAAAAUGCCGAAAUAUAUAAGAAUAAAACGUAGACAAAUAUAAUGAAAAUAACAUUGACUUGGUCGUAAGCCUCAUGCUACCAAAUGGAGAUUCAGAAAUGUCACCUACAUAGAAACAUGCCAAAAUAUAUGAGAAUAAAACGUAGACAAAUAUAAUGAAAAUAACAUAAAAUAUAGCUUACGUAUUUGAAAUCGAAUAACUCGAAGACCCCAAGGGGUAACUGCAACAUUCAGAUUUACCUACACCAAAUUGAUUAAACAAAUUAUCAAUUACUUCCAUACCCCAAAUUGAUUAAACAUGUUAGGAUCGAGAAUCCCGGAUAGUGCGGAAUUAAAUAAAGUAAUCGUUUCAAGACGAUAACAAAGACGAUAAUAAAGAUAAGUUGAGAAAAUAAAGGAGACACAAAUUUAACGUGGUUCGAUCAACUUGACCUCACAACCAAAAGGACGAGCAACUUUACUAAAGUUGUCAAUGGAACAAAAAAAAGAGUACAAAUUAGAGUAGUUAAAUAUUCUAAUAUUCCAAAUAGCCAAAAGAAUAACCUCACAAAUAUCACUCCAAAGAAAAGGUUCACUCAAAGUAUUUCCCAACACAACUCUCUCACAAAUACUCUCUACAAAGAAGAAAGCAAACACAAAUACAUCUUCUCAAAUGUUGGUGUUCUUCUCAAAAUGAUGUGUUGAAGAGAGGUAGCACUAUCUCUAUUUAUAGGCAGAAAACAAACCUAAGUUGAUGUCUUCAAUGACAUCAACACACUACUUUCCCAACCAAAUUUAACAAGAAAACAAAUUGCAUGCAAUGUUGGACUAGCCAACCAAAUUUGACAAAGCCAAACAAAUGAUCUCCAAGUGUUUUGUAGCAACUUUGUAUGACCAAGUGUGAAUCAAAGAAAACAAACAAAGGCCACAUUACAAAUCUCCACCUUAGCCUAAAUUUGGUUAAUAUAGUAAAUUUUGCUUCACCUUCUUCACAAAGCCUUAAGGGGCUUUCAAAAUUCCAUGAUGUCAGAAUCAGAUGAGUCUCCAUCUGAAAUUGAAACAGUAGCAACACCUGUAAUAUACAGGCUUUUCAACUUUUCCCACAUGUCUUUGACAGUGGUUUUCGAAGCUACUUUACGUAAUACAUCAUCAGAGAGAUUUAGUAUAAUACUAGAUCUCGCCUUUUCAUCAAGGCUAUCAAAUUCCUCGACUGUCAUUUUUUUUUAAAUUUUCUUCUUUCCUUGUAGUGCGAUAUCUGAACCAUCCUGAACUAGGAUAGCUUCCAUUUUCAAUUGCCACAUACCAAAGUUUGCACUUCGGUCAAAUUUUUCAACAUAAAUCUUUGUAAUCGUCAUGGUGACUACUAAGACAAAAUCGAGAUUAACCUCGCUCUGAUACCAAUUUGUUAGGAUCGAGAAUCACAGAUAGUGCGGAAUUAAAUAAAGUAAUCGUUUGAUGACGAUAACAAAGACGAUAAUAACGAUAAGUUGAGAAAAUAAAGGAGGCACAAAUUUAACAUGGUUCGAUCAACUUAACCUACGUCCACAACCAAAAGGGGGAGCAACUUUACUAAACACCAAUGGAACAAAAAAAAGAGUACAAGUUAGAGUAAUUAAAUACUCUAAUAUUCUAAAUACCCAAAAGAAUAACCUAACAAAUAUCACUCCAAAGAAGAGGUUCACUCAAAGUAUUUCCCAACAUAAUUCUCUCACAAAUACUCUCUACAAAGAAGAAAACAAACACAACUACAUCCACUACAACAUUUCUGGCCUAAGGCCACACUAAAUUUGAGCCACAUUUUACAAGUGUGUCCUAUACCAUUAAAGACCACACUUUUAAAGUGUAAUCUUAAUUUUUAACUUCUGGCCACAUUACGUUUGGCAACGCUUUGAAAGCGUGAUUUUUAAUAAUGUAGACCACACUUUACAAAUGUUUUUAAAUAAUGAUAUAAUUGACAACACUUAUUCACAUAUAUGGCUACAUUUUUAAGUGUAAUUUUAUUAUAAUUUAAAAGACAACAUUUUAUAAUUGUGGUCUAAAAUUUUCAUUAAAAUUUUCUCAAUCUCCCUCCCAAAUAUUUUAAUUUCCCUCCAACAUAAUUAACAAAAAAGAGUUGAGAAUAUUAAAAAUGAAAAACCCUACGCUAAAUUAACACAGAUAUUAAGCUUAGGUCGAAUAGUACGGAACCAGGUCUCUUCACCGUUGAAUAACACCGACACUGGCGACAAAGACGUCGUCGUCUCGAAAGGGGAACAACCGGCGAGGGGCGACCAUUGGCGAGGGGCGAGGAGCAGAAACCACCGGCGAGAACCUAAAGGUUAUAGUCAAUCUCUCCUUUUGGUGUUUUUUUCUCAAUCAGUGAAUUUGAACACCCUUUUCGUUGUUUUGACAUUUUUUAAGCUUGGUUUUGGGAAUUUGUUGGUUCUUUUGGGUUUCUUGGAUUCUGGGAAUGCCAAUUUUGGGUGUGUUGUUAUUCUAAUUUAUGCGAUUGAAGAGAAUGUGAGGUGUUGAAUUAUGAUUCUUGAGUUUGAUUUUUUAUCGAUUCAAGAAUUUCGUGUAGAUUAUUCUAGUUUUAUGAACUGAGUGUAGAAAGCUUUUAUUAAACUCAAUAUUCUUUUAAUUUUCUUCUUAUAAUCUGUAACAAGUCAUGGCCUUGAUAUGCUGAAAUGAGUCAUCAGGAGGCGAACAAGGCAUAAUCGGACUGAAGAUUUUGCUGCAGUUUUUCAUAAUUGUCUCAGUUGUUUCUCUUGAUUUUUUGUUUUGAUUUUUCAUUUCCAGGAUCUCUUGAUCCAAUUCAAAAAAAAAUUGAAAACAAACUCGAAUUACAUGGCUUGAGUGAACCUUAGAAACACAAUACUCUUCGGUCCGAAGUACACUUAAACUGCUUCAAAGAAGCAAUCUUUACAUAUACAGAUGAAUGUUGAAGGUGAUAGGGCUUAAUUUAUUUUUUUCCCUGCUGUUCUGAAAGUUGUUACUAGCUUCAGGACUCGAAUCUUGGAAAACAGUUACACGUGGCUGUUGUUAAAUUAUGGUCUUCAUCUUAAAAUGAGUUAAGAAAUUAAAUUGCUGAUCUGAUUAAACUGCUCUUUCUUUCCUCUAUUGGAUGCUAUUUCAUGUUUCUUGGUGUCACUCUCUAAGAAAAAAGGUAGAACGGUAGAUAUAUUAAAGCCUAUUCAAGACCAAAUGAUGCUAUGAAACUAUAGAUGUUUUGUUUGGUAUCGGUGUUUCUUGUUUUGUGCCUUGGUAGGUAUAAUGUCUUCAGCUUACCCUGUGAUAUGCUGAAACCUUUUACAGAACUACCCUUGGAUAAAAAAAUGAAAAGAACUGAAUUUGUACCGGGGCGGCUCAUAUUUGGUUUUGAGUGAACCUUGGUGCAUCUAUGAGGUUCCUGAUAGUCUAGAUUAUCAAAUGUCAUUCUUUAAAAAACCUGUCCUUCUACAAGUCAUCUAUUUUCUUGUAUUCACUUGUUUAUCGGGGCUUUCCGGCCACUUUAAUAAAAUGAUUGUCUUGUUUUAAAACUGUGAAACUGCCUUUCGCUGGAAUCAUUUACAAAAAUAGUUGUUUGUGUUGCUACUGUGAAUGCCUGCUGGAACAUUGUUGGUGUUAUCCACAGGUUGUGAAACAACAGAUGGCUUUGGGGGCAGGCUCAUUACUUGUAGCCUUUUCCACAUUAUGAGUAGUCUGAGAAUUGUUAGCAGUCUCUCCAUUUCCAAACAGGUAUCCCAAUAUAAUACAGGUUAGAAAGUUAGUUCAUUCAUCACCACAAUAUUAGAAAUGUUGGUUUUUUUUUCGAAUAGCCACCAGUAUUAUGAUGGUUAGAAAUGUCUUUAUUACUGUCACUUAUUAAUUUUACUUACUUUUUGUUAGGACAUUUAGAAAGAUCUGAAGAGGCCGAUUUAAACUUUGGUUCAGCUUAGCAGAAGUGCCAUGACUAGGUAAGAAAUUUUUAUCUUCAACCAACGCAUAAUUUUGAUAACUUACUCGUGUCUUUUAGAAGUUACUAGUAAGUAAAUAAUGCUUUUGUAUGUUACGAUAUCUAAUUUUAAUAUUGACUUUAUUUAGGAAUACAAAUGUUCUGUCUAAGGAUUGGAUGGAUUUACCUAGGUAUAGCGCUGAGUAUGAAAAGGGUGUUAAAUCUUUCUUGAAUUUUGCUUACACUUAUGAAGAUCCUCAAGGCGAAGAAAUUCAGUGUCCAUGUGAUAAAUGUUGUAAUGUUCGUUGGACUCAAAGAGAUGUAGUGUAUAAUCAUCUAAUUGGCCGUGGAUUUAUUGAUGGUUAUAAAAGGUGGAUCAAUCAGAGGGAAUGGGAAAUCGAUUUGAAUGGUGAUGAUCAUAUGGAUAACUCGAAUGAUGAUAUUGACGGAUUGUUGAAUGAUCAAUUUAGACAUGUUGCACAAGCUAAAGAACUUUAUGAAGGUCCAGAUGAAGAUGCCAAGAAGUUUUAUAACUUAAUGGAUAAGGUAAGCCAAGAGCUAUAUCCCGGUUCUAAAGGAUUUUCUAGAUUAUCAUUCACAAUCCGUUUAUAUUUAUUGAAGUGUCUGCAUGGAUGGAGCAAUGAAUCAUUCACUUCUCUUUUAGAAUUAUUAAAAGAGGCAAUGCCAAAGUUGAACAUUCCUCCAUCAUACAAUAAAGCUAGGUCUAUGGUCAAGGAUCUUGGUCUUGAUUAUGAAAAAAUUCAUGCUUGUCCUAAUGAUUGUAUGUUGUUUAUAAAUGACCAUAAGUAUGAUGAAUUGUGUCAUGUUUUCAAAGAUUCUCGAUAUAUUAAACCUCCUGAAGUAGAUUGUGAGGUUGUUGAGACUUCUAAAAAACCUCAUCGUGUUCCAGCAAAAGUUUUGAGAUAUUUUUUAUUUUUUUCUAGACUCAAAAGGCUAUUUAUGUACUCAAAGACAACAGAUUCAUUGAGGUGGCAUGACGAGGAGAGUUCUAAAGAUGGAAAGUUAAGGCACUCCGCUGAUAGACAAGCAUGAAAAUAUUUUGAUAGCUUGUAUCCAGAUUUUGCACUAGAUUCUCAUAAUCUAAGACUUGGCUUAUUAACUAAUGUAUUCAAUCCAUUUCGGACCAUGAGUAUAUCUCAUAGCACAUGGCCAGUUAUGAUAAAGGUGUAUAAUUUGCCGCCUUGGAUGUGCAUGAAACCAGAGUAUUCUAUGCUUUCCUUACUCAUUCCCGGGCCUCGUUCGCCUGAAAAUGAUAUUGACAUUUAUUUACAGCCAUUGAUUGAUGAUUUCAAUUUCUUGUGGCAAAUAGGUGUUGAAACAUAUGAUGCUUCAAGAAAUCAAACCUUUCAAAUAAAAGCAAUUCUUCUGUGGACAAUCAGUGACUUCCCUGCAUAUGCUAUGUUAUCUGGUUGGAGUACAAAAGGAAAGCUGGCUUGCCGGUGUUGUAAUUAUGGCACUAAUUCUUGCUAUCUUAAACAUAGUAGAAAGACGUGCUAUAUGGAUCAUCAUGUUUUUCUACCCAUGGAUCAUCCGUGGAGAUUUAAUAAAAAGUCUUUCAAUGGAAAAAUUAAAUUUAAACCUCCUCCACGUUUGUUAAAGGGAACGGAUGUGCUCAAUAGCUUACGAAACAUGAACAAUGUGUUUGGGAAGAAGAUAAAGAGAACAAAUGAUGGGCCGUGGUAAAAAAGGUCAAUCUUUUUUGAAUUACCUUAUUGGGAGCACAAUCUAUUGCCCAACAACCUUGAUAUGAUGCAUGUAGAAAAGAACGUAGUUGAUGCUGCGAUUGGAACUAUUUUGGAUAUUUCUAGCAAAACAAAAGAUCAUGCAAAGGGUCGUUAUGAUUUGAAAGAGAUGAAAAUUAGGAAGAGCCUUCAUCCAAAAGAUACCACGGAUGGCAAGAGAAUCAAGAUUGCAAAAGCAUGUUUUUCAAUGACUAAUGGCGAAAAAUCAAUUUUUUGUAGAGUUUUAAAGAAAGCAAAACUACCUGAUGAAAGUACCUCCAACAUAUCUAGGUGUGUGCAACUAGAUGAAAGAAAAUUAUCUGGCUAUAAGACUCAUGAUGCUCAUUUCAUGUUACAUUACUUGCUGCCAAUACCAAUUAAAAACAUCCUUCCUGAUCAUGUUGCUAUUGCUUUGAUUCGUUUGAGUUCCUUCUUUCGUCGUUUAUGUCAAAAAGUUAUCACAGUGGAGGAAAUAGAUUGCUUAGAAGCUAAGAUCAUAGAAACAAUAAAUCGGUUAGAGAAAAUUUUUCCUCCUACAUUUUUUGAUAUAAUGAUUCAUUUGCCUAUUCAUUUGGCUAAUGAGGUAAGAUUAGGAGGUCCAGUUCAAAAUCAAUGGAUGUAUCUCUCGGAAAGAGAUAUGUGUACGUUUAAAUCAUAUGUCCGCAAUAAAAAUUAUCCAGAAGGAUCUAUAACAGAGGCAUAUCUGGUUGAAGAGUGUUUAACUUUAUGCUCUAGAUAUUUACAUACGGGCAUACGUACCAGAUUUAAUAAAAGACCUCAAAAUGAUAAUGAGUAUGGCUCAGGUGAUGCACCUUCUUUCAGUUUGUUCCCUUGCAAAGAUUGUCCUUUAGGAGCAAAGAAAAAUGCAGCUAUUAUUUUAGAUAAAAAGUCACUGAAUUAGGCCCAUGCAUACUUAUUGGCUAAUUGUGAUGAAGUUCAAGAGUAUAUUAGGUACUUUAAUCACUUAUAGUAUUUUCUUUUUAUGAAUAGUUUUUAUCUUGUUGUAUUUAUUAUUAUAAUGAAUAACAAUACUUGUUGUGUAGAGAGCAUGAACUUGAGGUUAAUGGACAACCACGAAGAUUGAAAUGGAGCAAGGCUAAGAAUCAUAGUCAAAACUUCUCUAAAUGGUUUGAAACUCGUGCUUUGCAAGAUGAUGUGCCUGAUUUGAUAAAAGAAUUUUCUAGAGGACCCAAUGCAGUUGCUAAAAGAUAUUCUGGGUAUCUCAUUAAUGGAUAUAGAUUCCAUAUUAGGCAGUGUAAUGCAAGGCGUAAAACACAAAAUAGUGGUGUUACGUUAGUUGCCUCAACCACAAGCUUUGCAAGCUCAAAGGAUAAAAAUCCAGUUCAUGCAGAUUUGACUUAUUAUGGUAGGAUAGUUGAUAUACUGGAGUUAGACUAUUAUGGACAUUUUAAGGUUGUUUUAUUCAAGUGUGACUGGUAUGAGGUUGAAAAAGAUACCUAUAGCCUUACUUACGUUUACUUCAACAAAAAGUGCUCUUUGAAAGAACCUUUUGUGCUAGCAUCUCAAGUACACCAAUGCUUCUAUGUGCAAGAUCAAUAUGAUCAAGAUAGACAUUAUGUUAUGAAAACUGUUCCGAGAGAUCUGUUUAACGUUAGUGACCAUGUUGAGUCUACUACCUCAGAAAGUUUUGAAAAUGAGCCUUCUGAACAGUUUAUGAGCCCAUCUAUACCGAAUGAUAAUGGUGAAGUUGUCUUAAUAAGAAAUGAUGUUCCAGAAACAAUUAUUGAUGUGGAUGCCGAAGGGUUUCUUGCUGAACAACAUGAAGUUGAGCAUGACAGUGAGUCUGAAGAUGUGUAUGAAGAAGAGUAUGAAGAGGAAUUUGCAGAUGAUUCUGAAGAAGAGCCUGGAGACUAUGUUGAUGUUGAGGAUGAACCAUGACUUUGUUAUUCUUUUUUGUCCCAUAAUGUUAGCUUUGUUUUGUUUGAUUGUUUGCUGGUACAAAAACUUUUAGACAUCUAAUAUGCAGAAACAUUGAGGAGAUUGACAAUCUUAAUUAUUUUUUUGGUCUUUUUUGGGAAAUGUAAUAUGCAGACACAUGAUAUUAUGAAAAUCUUUAAGUAUCUUGUUGGCUUGUUUCCUAAGCCUGGUCAUUAUUUUAUUAAUAACCUUAUAGUGCUUGCUUAUUCUUAGCACGAUGCAAUUAUAUAUGUUAGUUAAUGACCUUUUCUAUUUGUACCCUACACUGAUGUUUUGUAAAUGCCUAUUUUAUUCUAUUAUUAUCAGGUAGUGGUCAUUUGAAUGAAAGCAGACCAACAAAAUUUGAGGCAGCUCUGUGGUACGAAAUAGGUAUACGUUCAGUUAUCCUUCACUUAUUUUUUUUUCUCUGGAGGCUACUUCGAUACAAUAGCUGUGUUGAGUGUUGAUCGGAUGUGCUAUGUUGAUAUGCAGAUUUACACCUUUUGUGAGCCUGUGACUCAGUGUAUAUGUGUGUAUUUACUGUUUAAUAUCUGACAAUAUGUGUAUUUAGAUUUUCAAUGGGUUCGGUGCAUUCUUGACGUGUUCAAGUAAACAUAAUAAAGGAUUGCUUAAAUGGGGUGUUUCAGUUUUUCUUCAUCGCAGAAAACAGAGAACUGUUCUGUGUUACUGGUGCAUUUGAGCUUUUGCAGCUUCUACCCUUUGUAUGUUAGCUUAUAUAGAAUAAUGUAAAAGGUGAUACGGCUUAAGAUUUUGUUUUCCCUGCUGUUCUGAAAGUUGUUAAUUGCUAGUUCGUUUAAGUUGGUGAGUAUGGCACUUGCUCGUAAUAAUGUCUAGGACUGAUGGGUAGAGACCAUCAAAAGUAGCUGUUAGUAUAAAAACUAGUUUAUCAAAACCAUAUAUAUUAGUAAUGGAAGUUGAAGAAAAAUCAUCUAACUUAUAAGGUGUCGGCAGCCGCAUUCAUAACAAUACUAGUUCAAACAAAUUAGGAUAACUAACAAUAUUACUUCUUGUUGUUGGUAUACUCUUCUUCAUAAUUAACUUGUGCUAACUAAUGUCUCUUCUCUUUUUUGUUAAACAACAUGAACAGAUGUUGGUUUCUUUAAUGUCAACCCACUGUUCUGAUCUCCCUAUGAUUAAGUAAUUGAGAAGUGAAAAAAUGGGUUCACAAAUUUUCUUAUAUUCAUAGUGCUAACUCUGAGUACAUACUAGAAGAUGCCUGUUUCCUCAAUCAGCAUCAACCAAUACUAAAUCUGUGGUAUUUAUGCCAAUUAAAUGAAUGCAGGGCGUGUUUUUUAUACACUCAAUUUAAAGUUAUUUGUAAGCUCUUUGAGCACCUAAAAAUUACAGUCAUGUGGGCUUACCUGCAAUACACACAUAUACAUCUUGGACAAAAAAAGGACAGAAAUGAAUUUGCUACUAUGAAUGCUGGAACAUUCUUAGGGUACACAGGUUGUGAAAUAGCAGUUGGCUCAUUCAUCACAGAUUAAUAAAUAGUGAGAUACAUAAUGCUGUAAUUCAUCACAAAUUAAUAAAUAGAGAUACAUAAUGUUGUGCAACUGAGACGUAUAUAUCUGCAUUUGCUUCAUUAACCUCCGUGAGACUAUUCAGUGCGUCUGUUACGAGCUUAGAUAAACAAUAUUUUCAUUAAGUUUGAUCAUAUUUAGCUUAGACAUGUCAUUUGGCUAAUAACUGGAUAUACUUUCAUACUGUACUUUCCAUCUAUAUUGCUUUGACUCUUUCUUGCAUCUCUUUAUAUACAUCUGUCAAACAGGCCACAUCCUCAAAACUGGUAGUGUCCCUCCACUUAUUAUUCUGUGUACUUGUGUUGGUAAGGCUAUAUUUAUAUUAUUUGUGUGAAUCUAAUAUUCUUUGCCUCUAUUUUUAGUUAGUAAGGAUGAAGCAAGCAGCAAGUCUAAAGAAAAAAAUUUCAAAUCCGAACAAAGCUCAAAGUCCUCUGAAGAAUAUGAAUUCCGUUACUCAAUACCGUUCAAGUACUGAACUAGUCAAGGAAUAUAAGAUUAAGAGAGAAUAGCUUGCAAAAGAACACAAUGAUAAAAUUAGGAAAUCUCAGGCACCAAUGACACAUAAAAGAAAGAUUACACAUAAAAGAAAGAAUCUUGAGGAGUCCAUUGCACAACAAGGAAAGAGUAUAUUGCCUAUUAACAAGUCAGUGAGCCAAUCUUCUGCAAGGGAAGAGAUUAAUGCUUCACAUAUGAUCACUUGAAAAGGACAAAUCAAAGAACGAUUAUUUUAACCUCAAUCUGGAGGGCCCAUUAAAAAGAGAGGAGUCGAAUCACCUAUGCACAACUUCAUGUUCCAAGGAUUUUCGAUGUUAAUACUUCAAAUGUCAUUGGAAUACUACAAGUUGAACAAGAGAAACAACAUGCUAUUAAAGAACUAGAAAACUACAAACAGGUGAAGAGGAAGUCAGUCCUACCGUCAAGUAGUCUGGACCAGUUUCUAGAAAAACAAGGAAUACAUAUAAGUGGUGAAAAAGAACAUGAUAUUGGCACAAUAGAAAGUGUUAAAGUUCUGCCCACUGAAGAUAUAGAUGAACACAAUAAACGAUUAGAUGAUCCUACAGAAAAAGAAGAAAAUGGUGAGGAUGAGUGGUUAAAUAGUGAUGACAAUAUAAAUGUUGAUUGUGGUACAAAUGGUAUGUCUUGAAUCCUAUAAUUUUAGUGCUCAUUGUAUUUGUUUCUUAUUUCUUGGUUGUUACAUCAAUCUAGGAGUGCCACAGAAAAAAAAUGUUUGAGGACCAACAACAUGCAAGGAAAUUCAUGCGAGAACUUUAGAUGAAAGAGAGGUGGUGACAUUUGACUUAGGACAAGCAGUGGGACCAACUGACAAGGCAGUUUCUAAUUUAAGCAACUUCAUAGGAACAGUUGCAAGGAAUCCCAGAUUUAUCAACUUGUUGUACACUAGUUGGCAUGCUGUUCCAGAUGAAACUAAAAAACGCAUGUGGGAUUAUGUCAAUGUAAGAAAAAUUAAUUUUUGAGAAUAAACAUAUAUUAUGUUUAUUACUAACCGAAGCUUAAUAUAUUUAUUUUGUAUAGUCAAAAUUUUUCAUUCCAAAGGAAGGACAGAAGUGGGUGAUGCAUGGUCUUCGUGAUGCUUAGAGGGGAUUCAAGAGAGAAGUUAAACGGAGAUGUUUUGAUAAAAGACUUACUGUUGAAGAAAUGCUAGAAAAACGUCCUGCUGGCGUUCCAGCUGUUCACUUACGUCAGUUGAUCGAGUAUUGGAAGCUUCCAGAAGUUGAAGUAAGAUUAAAAUAAUGCAUAUAACUCUUGACAUAUUUUUCAUAUUUAAUUUAUGUUAUCUUUUUUAGGCCUUGAGCGAGGUAAAUUCUCAAAAUAGAAAAAAAAAAGUGGAGACAUCGAAUGGGACCUAUUAAUUUUGGAAGAGUACGCGUGGCAUUGGUAAUAUUUAGUCGGCGCUUUUAAAAAAAUCUAUUUUUCAAUUUCUUUUUUACUUUGUUAUAACAUAUUUAUAUUUGGUUUUACACUGUAAUUUGAUAUCAUUUGUAGCUCCGGACAAAAGAAAAUAAUGAGGAACCAUUAAAGGCUGAAAUGUUUGUUUCUACUCAUACAAAGAUGGGAAAAGAAGUUCAGGCAGAUACCCAAAUUGCAAUAGUAAGUAAUCGAUUUCGACUGCAGCUAAGUUCAUCUUUAAUUCUUUUAUUCUUAUUUCUCUGUGUAACUGUACAUACUCUGAAUCACAGACAAAUUUGGGUAAACUCCAUUUUGAAGAUACUGUACAUAUUCGGGUUUUAAUAGAUACUGGUUGAUUUUUUUUAUACUAUUUUUUUUCUUUGAAGAGCUUAUGCUUCUCCUUCUAUUGCUUACGGACAAAGGUCCUUUUCCUAAUUUGUUCCUUUGUAUAAACAACAUUCUAACUAGAGUAUAUCUUUGUGGGAUAUGAAGCAUUCCCAGUCACAUGAUAACAUAGCCUUAAACUGAACUAGACUAUCGACGAGAUAAGCAAAGCAUCGCGUCACUCUAUUGAUGCGAUAUGCGACGCGUCGUGUUGCUAUCUAUCAAUGCGAUAUGCAAUGUGCCACAGCCAUAUCGUGUUGACUCCUUGUUUUGAACAUCCUAAUAGGCCUCAAACCUCGUCCGGAAAAUUCAAAACUUACCCUUUAUGCUAAGUUUGAUUUAUCCAAAUUAUUUGAGGAACCUUGUUUAAAGAAAGAAGCUAAAUUCACAUCCUGGAAACCUGCAUCAGUGACUAUAUCCAAGCUGAAAAAUAUUGCUAAACAUCUUAAGCUGAGAGCUAGCAAAAGGGAUGCAGGAUUACUAAGAUUCGAAGGAACAUGAGAAGGAAAAAAAGGAACUUUGAGCGUUGACGUGGAGAUAUUUUAGGUUGUUGAAGCUUUUCAUUUGGUGGAAUUCUAAAAAUCAAAUGGUGAUACAUUAGAAUAUCAUAAAAUAUUGACUGAAUGCGUAAGACCGAGUCUUCAAGAUAUCAUUUGGACUUUUCAAGAUGAUCAGCAACAACCUCUGUAGGCAGACGACCAGUUUAAUGAGCAUCAACCUACACUUUGUACAUCAGGUUUUGUCCUAGAUACAUUGGCUGAGCUAGGUGGAUGCUGGAGGUUUCAAUGAAUCCCCUUUAUCACAAAAAUCAUGUUGUGCAAAUAGGGUAGGCAUAUUACAUACACAAACACCUAACUUAGCCUCACAUUAUUUCUGAGAAAAAUAGUAAUUGUACAUGAGCCAUUAAAUAGAACUCUAGGAAGAUCGUCUCGGCUUCCUUUCCUCGAUCCCUAAACAAAUGCAGCAACACGUUUUCUCUUUUAUCCUUCCAGUAACACAAGGUAUGAUUUUCCUUUCAUUUUCUUGGUUCAAAUUUGUCUAUGUUGUUUUUCAUUCAGAAUCUAAUCGAAUUACUAUUCACUACUGCAAUAUAGAACUUAAAUUUUGUAUUAUAAGUUGUGUAUACUCUCGCUGAUUGCUAAUCUUCUAUUGGCCGGUGACAGAUUGAACCUUAUUAUCCUUAUAUCUGAUUAAUAGUGUUGAUGUGUUUUAAGCAACAACUGCAUCUAUCAAGUUACUGAGAGUUGCUUCUAAUUCAUAUUGCUUCUUUUGGUCUAUGUUGAGCUUUUGACUACUUUACCAGAAUUAUGAGCCAAAGCAGAUUGGAACUAGUUGUUGUGCUUUUGCCAACUUUACUAGAUCCUGAUUCUUGAUGAACUGAAAUAAUUUAUUUUAGAAUGGAUUCCUGAGUCUUGAGGAGCGCUGAAAUAAUCUGCUUUGGCUUUAUGAGACUGAUUUCAUUCUCAAGAGUAUUAUUGUUAAGAAAGUUAAUUAUUUCUGACCUGGGACGGAUGAGCCUUCGUUUGAAAUAUAUCUUAUAUAUACUGCAUUAUUUCUUCUCCUGAUAGCUAAUCAUCACAAUGCUGGGAAAACACCAGAUGAUGCAUUCACGGCAGUGUUUGGAAAGAGAAACCUGAUCGAGUUAGAGGCUAUGGUAGAUCAGUGACAAGAACUUCUCUGCAAAAAGAUGAGGAAAUGAACAAUCUUAAACAAAAGCAUGCUAAUGAAGUCACUUCUAUGAAGGAAGAAAUUAUAAGUGAAAUGAGACAAGAAAUGCGACAGUUUUUUAGUCAAUUGGUGCAAAACAAUCCUGGAUUGAAUUUUCAAGAUAUACUAGGGAGUGAUGGAUCUAACAUUCCUUCACCUAAUGCGAGUAAUGCACAAGCUAUACGAGAAAAAAUUCUUUCAAAUUCUUCGAGCUCGGCUCAUGCUUCGGUUCAUGAAAAGGUACUUUAUCUUAGAAAUUCACAGGAAGUUUAAAUCCUGAACUUUUAACUUGAUUGAAAUGAAUUAAAGAAACUUUGAAUUCACAUACUUCCUCAUAUCAAGAUUGAAAAAAUAUUUAUAUUUACUUCGUUUGUUCAUUUUGAAUAUGUAGGAUCUAUGCGGGGGAUCAAAUUUGAAUGGUGGGCGCCACAACUCAGCUUGAUCGAGAUUGAAGUGAAUGAUGAAGAAUUUUUUAAAUAAUUUGAUAUACGCUAUUAUAUACAUUUGGUUUUGUGGAACUUGAUACAAUUUUUAUUAUGUUGUUUUCUUGUUAGUAUGUAAAAGACAUUUUUUUGAAAUCAAAUCUAUGCACUUCAAGUAUUUAUUAGGUUAUUAGUGCAUGCGUGAGAUUACAUAUUUGUUAUGUUUAUGUAAUGUGCUUAGUGAUAUAUGCGUGAGAUUUAUGCACUUCAAUUUUUAGGUAAUAUUGCUACACUUUAAGAGUGUGACUAAAACAUGCUUACACUUUAGAAAUGUUGUCAUAGAGGAUAUAUAAAAGGCUACGUUUUUUAUGUGUGGUUAGUAAUAAAGAAACGGCCACAUUUGUUAAGUGUUAUUAUAGAGGUGCUACGAAAGGCUACGCUUGUGAAGCGUGCCCAAUAAUUAAAUAAAGGCAACAUUUUUAAAGUGUUAUUAUAGAGGUGCUACAAAAGGCUACACUUGUGAAGCAUGACCAAUAGCAAAAGAAAGGCAACAAUUGUAACCGUAGCUUUAUCAAAUAAAGGUGUUGCCAAUUACAAGCUACAAAGCGUGGUCUUUAAACAUUAAUGACCACGCUUUUUAAAUGUAGCUGAUAUGGCAACACUUGAAAAGCUUGGCCUUUGAUAAAAGGUUACACCUCUUUAGGCCACCCCCCUAAAAGUGUGGCCUAAAGUCCAAAAGUGUAGCCUUUGAUCAAAGGCCACAUUUUCUGCUAUUUUAGGCCACGCUUUACAAGAGUGGCCGUAGGCCAAAAAUAUUGUGGUGAUCUUCUCAAAUGUUGGUGUUCUUCUCAAAAUGGUGUAUUCUUUUCAAAAUAGUGUGUUGAAGAGAGGUGGAGCUACCUUUAUUUAUAGGCAGAAAACAAACCUACGUUGAUGUCAUUAAUGACAUCAACACACUACUUUGCCAACUAAGUUUGACAAGAAAACAAAUUGCAUGCAACGUUGAACUAGCCAACCAAAUUUGACAAAGCCAAACAAAUGAUCUUCCAAGUGUUUGGUAGCAACUUUGUAUGAACAAGUGUGAAUCAAAGAAAACAAAGAAAGGCCACAUUUCAAAACAAAUUAUCAAAUACAUCAAACUUGUACGAAAAAUAAAAUGCACAAACGAAAAUUUUGAAUUGCCUCAACAAAGAAGUUCACGGUCGGCCUUUUAGAAACAAUAUCAAUCAAACUCAUCUUUGAUAAUUGACGAGACAACAUAUUAGCCGCAGUCUGCCUAAUAGCGUAGUGAGGAUUUGUUACACCAUAAGACGCUAAGUAGGGGUCUAUGACCUAUGUCCGCCGAAAUAAACAAUCUGAUAAUAAAAUACAAUAAAAGUUCGAAAUUUACAACUAAUUACCUUGUAAGAUAAAGUACUUUUGACAAAAAUAAGCUUGUUAUCUUUAGAUUUAGCUCGCAAAUCCUCUAAGAAGACAUGUUUUUCUUUGAAAGAAUGAACGUAAGAAAUGCGAUCGAGAAAAGGAACCAAAACAUGUAAACCAAGGUUCAAGGUUUCGAAAUAAUUCCCACGGCGUUCAAUGAUAAACGCUUAAGACUCUCGGACAAUGUUAACGCCAAGAUUGACACGAGAUUUACACCAAUUUACGCUGAAAUUAAAAAGUUCAAAUCAAUGAGUUGAAAGAAAAAUAAAAAAAAACGAAUAAACAAAUAGAUUUUGAAACAAAAUUGAUCGAAACAUCACUUCUGAGAGAUUAUCCAUGAAAAUGAGUUAGUCCGGCCGUAGAUAACAUAUUACGAGUAGAACCUUUAGCAAGGCGGAAAAACAAACUCAUUCUGAAAAAGGGGAAAGUCAGGGAUUGUGAGGGAAGGGGGCUCAAAGUGAAGAAGGAUUUACAAGAGGUUUGGAGCUGCUGAAAAACGCCAAACCUUAAUGACGGUCUUAGGCUAAGGCGGCAUUUUUUUCGUGGAAAAAUUACAUAAAUACAAUCGUAAUUACACUCUCUCCCACUUUUUAAAUUAAUUUACACUCUCUUCCUAUUAAUAUACAUAACAUAACCAACAUAUAUACAGCAUUUUGUAUAUAUAUUGAGAUUUUUGUAAUAUAUUUAGAGAGUUGAGAUUUUUUGUAAUAUUAAAAACAUAAGUUGUGUAUUUGUGUAAUUUUUAAUUUUUUCAUUAUAUUGGGUCACUGAAAAAGGCCCAGCCAGAAUAGUUAAAUGGGCCACAGAGAUAAGGGAUAGGCCCUCCUCCACAAUGGGUUAUCCAUGCCCUCCUAAACACAUAUCCGAAUCACUAUGACAACAAUAUAAGGAAAAGAUAUGUUUACCCUCCUAAAUUUUUCACGAAAAUUCAUUUUAGCCAUUAAACUUAAUAUGUAAUUAUUUACCCUUUAAAUAACUUUUAUAUAAAUUUUUUACUACCCUCAAAAAAUUAUACCACUCUCACUAUGGAGAGUGAAUCACACUCGCGCCAUAUUGAAGCCAUGCCAUAGCCACGUCGGAUCCACGUCAAAGCCACAUAAAUAAAUUAUUUUAUUGAAUAAUAUAUAUAUAUAUGUAUGUAUGUAUUAUAUUUAAAAACAAAAAAAACUCCCCCGACCCCCCCCCCCCCCCCCCCCCCACUCAGGAGGGAGAUCAUCGCCGAACCUAGAUGGAAGACUUUUAUCCGGCAAUUUAAUUGGAAUAAAAGCGAUAGUAGUAGAAAUGCGAAAUUCCAAUAUGAUCCUUUGAGUUACUGAAUUUCGAUGAAGGGAGAGGCAAUAACGGAGAAGAUGAGGAGAAAUUGGUACUCAAAAAUUUCUUGACGAGAUAUGCAGCGAUCUAACGGCUGGUAAAGUGUCCAUGUACGAUGGGCCAGUUUCGUUUGAGUGGUACAGUUGUAAGGUUUCUACUUUUUUGUUGGUAUAAAAAAUUAUAUUUGAGGUUGGUGUUACCUUUUUCUUUUUAAUGUUUGGACUGUAUAUGUUAUUUUUCUCUUAUGGAGGACGGACUGUACCUAAAAUUUUAUUUUUUUUGGUUUGAAGUGGGAUGAUGGUUGAUACUAGGUGGUAUUUGAAUUUGGAAAACAAUAUUGAGGAUUAGUUGUGUGUUUAAAUUAAUUCUGAAAACUUGCUUUAAAGAAUGGAGUGAAGAUUUUUGUUGGAUACGAGUGAAAAGAAAAGAAAUAGACCAAGGAAAAGACAUGGGGUGGCGGGGUGUGAGGAAGGAGAAACAUGGGGUGGUGGGGUGUGAGGAACAAGAAAAAAAAAAUGUUUGAAAAUUUUAAAAUAGGCCCCACUUAAAUUUUUUAAUACUUUUUUUCAUUAAAAUACGAUUUUAUUUUUUUUAGCCACGCCAGCUGUUAAGGGAGCAAAAUAAUGUAUUUUAAAGUUUCUAAUUAGAAUAAAUAAUUAUAGAUUAAAUUUAAUGAGUAAAGUGAGUUUUCAUUGCCACUUUAGGAAAAAACAUGUCUCUUCACUAACAAUAUACAAACUACUAAUAUACUAUUUAGAGAACAAAAUUACUUAAUUUAAAGGCAUGAGCUGGCAAUAGUAAAUUAACAUGGAUUAGAAAGAGGUUCACGAUAAACUGAAACAAAAAAUAGAAAGAAUAAAUUGAUUAGGCAGAUGUGAUAACAACACGGACUUGGGUAGAAAAAGAAUCAGACUAGAUUGAUGACAAAAGAAAGUCGAAGAUUAAAGAAUGAUAAGGCCUACUAUAUGGAAAAUUUUGGGAUUAAAACAAUCAUCAAAACUAAAUUAAGAAAAAAUGUCGAAGCCUAAAACAAACAAAAUUUUAAUCUAUAUCUAUAAUCUAUAUUUAUAAUCUAUAAUCUAUAUUUAUAUCUAUAAUUUAAAAUAUAUUAAAAGUCUCUUAUGAAAGUGAUUUGAACUUUUUGUCCUUCAUUAAAACACUCUAUAAUAGACAAAAUUAUCUUUUCGCUAUUUUCUCAAAUUAUUAAUUAAUUAUUUUAACAUUAUUAACUAUAACAUUAAAUCCUAAAAUAUAUAUAUGGAAAGCAAAAAUUAAGAGUCCUAAUAGUUUACAAGUAUUGAAUUAUUGAAAAGAAAUAAAAGAGGAAAUAGGAAGAACUAGGUAAUUUUCCUAAUUACUGACAAAAAAAAAAAAAAACGAAGAAAAAAAUAUAGAAAGAAGAAGAGUAAUUUUCUUUUAAGGAAACAAAAGCAUCCAUGCAUCUGUGGCUCGAGGGAAAAAAAUAAGAGAGAAAAAAGAGUAUUUUCCUUAUAACUAUUUCCUCCGUUUUAAAAUAGUUGAUCUGAUAUUUAUCUUAAAAAAAUAUUUCUUAAAAAUUUAUUUUACUAAAUUAGACUUAUUAAUUAUUGUUAUUGAAAUUCUUACGCUUUUAAAUCUGGUAGUAAUUUAUGGUGGUGGGGAAUAUAAAUUUAUCAUAUUUAGAUAAUUUGAAAAGCUUUUGAAUUUUUAUAAAUUGACAAUCCUUCUACAAUAAUACAAUAGCAUCUUCAAUGAACAUAUAAAACAAAAUUAUUUACUUUUGAUCUUAGUUCAUUCUUUAUUGUUUGCUUUAGAAUUAUUUUUUACGUCAGAAAAUAUUUUGUAAUAUUUAAUUUACUUUAAGGUGCAUUGAUUUUGUAGGUAUCUUUGAGAUGGAUGAUGAUGAUAAUAUAUACAGACAGUUGUUGAUUCGAAUUUUAAAAGGUGAUUAAAUUUGCGUGAUAAUUUUUAGUUUUGAAUGAUAUAAAUUAUUAUAGAUAUUCAUUCUUAUUCUUUUAAUGUGAAAUACAUUGACAUCUCCUUAUAACAAUGCGAUAAAGAGACACAUCAAGAGACAAAGAAGAGAAUGAGGGAACGUUUCGUUAAAAGUAUUCACGAUACGAAUGAGUUGAUAAGCGUUUCUUCAAAAGUAUUCAUGAAUGAGGUAAAAAUUUAACGUAUAAUAUAAUUCUUGGGUCUAUUUGAUAGGACAUAGGACAUACGAAGCACGAGGUUUGGCUAAAUUAAACUCACCUUUUGAGAUUAGUUUUUUUUGGUAAUAAUAUUUUGAAGGGUGGAAUUGAGUAUAUUCAUUAUUAUAUGAGAAUAACUUCUCUUUUGGUUAAAUCUUUCCAUCUCAUAUGUAUUUAACAUUACUUGAAUUAAGAAGUAGUGGUUACCCGAUGUUGUCAACAAGAUAAGUUACAGAUGUUAGGCACUAUGCUUCAAUUUCUGUUAAAUAUAUGUUAGCAUUAAAAUCAUAUGAAUUAUAAGCUCUUGGGACGUUGGUUUUAAUUUAUGCAUUUUUUUUGUUAAUUUGUGUAGCUGAAAAUUGAAUCAUUAUUUGAAUGAAAUUAAAUUUAAAAUCCUACAUGUGAAUUAAUUAAUUACUUUAAUGAGACAUCUUUUUUCCUUCUAUCGAUUGUUUAGGAAUUUACACAUUUUUAUUUAAUUUUUAUUCUAUAAAUCAAAACUAUUUUUAAAACAAUUGAUGCAAUUUUAAAAAAAUUAGUGUAUGAUUAUUAAUUACAUGCACACAUUACAAUGAACUAAAGGUGGCGGCCAAUGACAACAUAAUCUUGAUAUAUACUAAUUAUUUAUUCGUUGUCACUGCUCAGGUUUGUAAAGUUUGUAUCUUUAGUUUUAUUUUGUUCGUUUUGUAUCUUUUGUUCUACUUGUGCUGAUCUAAGAGUUUUAAUUUCCUCACAUGUGAAAACUGUUAUUUCUCUUCUAUAUAAAAUCUUUAUGACUGCAAAAUAUUGAUAUAUCAAGACGUAUUGAUCAUUAAAUCAAUUUGGUAUAAUUUGAAUUUUUGGGUUUGAAUUUAUUUAGACAUAGUCUUAUUUGUUAGAGAGCGUCUUUCUCUUCUGAUGUGGACCUUUCGAUAUGAACUCGAUUUUAAUCAGGACGAUUGAAGAAGCAUUAAAUCUAUUAUUUCCUAAAGAUCAUGUUUUUAAUUUAGUUAAAUUAACUACAUUUUGAUGACACGUAAGUAGUGGUACAAUUUUAAAUUGCCAAAAGAAGAUAUGAAUUCUGAAUUAUUUAUACUUUUGGGAGUGAAAGAUAUAAAAACUCAAAAAUUGAUAUUAAGAAAAUAAUCGCUGCAUUAUAAUUCUAAAAUAUGGUAUUGAAUUUACAAACAAAAGAUUAAAUUUUAUUUUUCAUUAGAGAAAUUAAAGAAUAAAAUAUUAUAAUUUAUUUAAAAUUAAUAACUAUUUUUCAAUAAUUUAUUCAUCUUUUAUGUAUUUUGUACUGAUUGAUUUAUUUUUUACUAUUUAAAAAUAGAAAGAGAGAGACAGAGAGAGAGGAAAUUGUAAUUGACAAGAGUAAAAACAUCAAUAUUUUUAUUUGAAACUUCUAAAAGUUUAAAAGUAUUUUAAUUUCUUAAGAGCACAUAUUUUUUCGUAUUUAUUUUUAAUUUAAAUAUAUUAUUUAAUGUAUUUACAGUCAAACCUCUCUAUAAUUGUAAUAUUUCACCGAAAAAUUCAUUGCUACUAUAGAGAGGUGUUGCUAUGCAAAUAUAGUUACGUUUGAUAUUUAAAUCUCAUUUAAUUGUUACUAAUAAAAAUAUAAAAAAUUAUUAACCAAUUUAACAAAAAUAAUAGCAAAACAAGGAGGUUCCAAAUAUAUUUCAAAGGUUUUUUUUCCCCUAGAACCUUGUGGUUGUCCGGAUCUCUACUCCCAAGUAAGUCUGGCAACAAACCGGAGUUAAUCCAGUUCCGAUGAUGUUUCGGUCCGGUAACGAUACGGUACCGGUUGGUAUUGGUAUACCGGUACCCAACGACCCAGAAUCCGAUAGCGGUGCGGAGCAUGGUUUUUUUCGUUAGUUUCGGUUCCGAUUGACCGGUUCCGAUGCCGUUUGGCCGGUUUCGGUCCGGCGCUGAUCGAUGCAAUUAUUUUUUUUUGGUAUUUAGCCAUUAUUGGCCGUUUGAUUAUAGCCGUUGGAGGGGGCCAACAGCUAUUUUGUGCCUCCCCCUCCCAAUUACCCCACUAUCCCUUUAAAUUUCUACUAUAAAUACCCUUUUGUAUCUAUUUUUUUCUCACAAAUUUCUCAUACUCUCUCUUAAAUCUUAAUAUUCUUACACUCUCAAUAUUUAUAGUUAUUGUAUUAAUUGGAGUUGGAGAGAUUUUGUGAAAAUAUUACAAGCUUUAAUUAUCAUCUUUCAAUUUCGACAUUUGGUAUACGUCUGCUUUUACACAGACGUUCGGUCUAUUCGUUCCAACUUUAAUCUCUAUAUUUUAUUUUUAGUAUCUAUAUUUAUUUACUUACAUUAAUUUUUGAUUUAUAAUAUUUAUAUUGCUUGUUUUAACAUUUUAAUUAUAUUUAAAUUUAAUUAUGGAUGGAUAUAAGAGUAGUGGUAAGAGAUCAAUCUUUGAUAAGGUUUUUCGUAGAAAUAAAAAAAAAAAUAGUGCUACUACUAGUUCAGUACGACCUAGAUUUAGUGAAACUUCUUUAUUACAACCUAAUGAUUUCGAUGUUGGUGCAGGUAUGCAAUUAGACCAUAAGACACUAAGUAGGCGUUGUGAUAAUUUUGAGGAAGACUUAUCGGAAGAAGAUAUAGAAGAACAAAAGAGGUGAAACCCCCUACCCCUACUAGUCCGGCUACGGAAUUACCAAAAGACGACAGUGUACUUCCCCUUUUACCGAAAUUUAGUAGGGUCAAAGGUACUGAACGUCCUAAAAGGUCUUUAGUUUGGCAAUUUAUGAGUUACGAUAAGAUAAAUAAUAAUAAUACUUGCAAUAAAUGUAAAAAAGUUAUGAAGUAUUUGAUCGGGGGGGAAAUGGUGGGACAGGAUUGCUUACCAUGCAUUUGAGGAGAUGUAAUAAAGAAUUUAUUCUUCUAGAAAAUGAGGUUAAGGCAAAAAAAAAAGGAGGUACACCAUUGACGGAAGAAUCUGUAGGAGGUAAUACGGUUCAAACGCGUUUAGAUAGGUUUAACCCAUCUGGCUCAAGUUCUUCAUUGACAUAUAAUGAAGAUAUAGAUAGAGAAGAACUAACGAAAAUGGUUGUUGUUAUGGGUUUGUAUUUUAGUUUUCCUUCACACCCCAGUUUUAUUCAUUAUAUUCAACGAGAAUAUAAUCCUCCUUUCAAAGGUUUUUCACGAAAUACAAUUAAAAAUGAUAUUUUUAAAAUGCAAACUGAAUAUUGUCAUUUUCUUCCUUGCUUAUUUGGUAAAUUUGAUGGUAAAGUAUCUAUUACUUUUGAUAUGGGUCGUAGUGUUGUCGGUAAUGAUUAUUUUAAUAUCAUGGUUCAUUGGAUUGAUCACCAUUGAAACAUGCAAAAAAGUACUAUUGCUUAUAAAUAUGUUGACGAGACUAAAACCGAUCAAUUUAUAUCUACUACAAUAACGGAUUGCUUAAAAUAUUUUAGACAUUGAUAAAACUAUGACAUGUACGUUAGAUAAUGCUUCUAAUAAUUUUAAAGCCAUUGAUUUUUUAAGUGCUAGACUAUGUUCUGUGGAUGAUGAUUAUUUUCAUGUUAGAUGUACUGCACAUAUUUUAAAUUUGAUAGUACAUGAUGAUGUUAUAUUUUUGGGAGAUGGUUGUUAUAAGGUUCAAGUUGCUUAUAGUUUUAUUUUUAAAAAUAAAAAAAUGCUAUAAUAGAUGAUUUUAAAUAUCAAUGUACAAAAUGUGAUCUUCCAUAUAGAAAAGUUCCAAGAGAAGUUCCUACUAGAUGGAAUUCUUUGUAUCAAAUGCUUAAAAUUGCUUCAGUAUAUCAUGAACCUAUACAAUUAGUUUAUAAUUCGAUUAAUUUGAAUAACGAUUUAAGGCUAGGUUCUGAUGAUUGAAUUGAAGUAGAAGAACUUUAUAAAUAUACUCAAUAUUUACACAAUAUACUCCAACUAUUUCUUCUGUUUUAGUAAAUAUUAAUGUUGUUUCUAAAGUACUUGUUAAAUAUAAAAAAAUUUUGUCCUUACAAAGAGGCAAUUGAAGCUAUGGUUGCAAAAUUUAAAAAAUAUUUUUUUUCUAUUCCACAAAUUUAUUUGACAGCUACUUUAUUUAACCCAUUUUACAAAGAACAUGGUGUAAUGAUGAUGGUUCAAAAAAUUUACGCCAAUUUAGAAAUUGAACCUCAUGAAAAGCCAUCGGUUGAAACUUGUUGUGCUAGCAUAGAACCUAAAGCCAGGAGUUUAUAUAACAUGUAUUAAGUGAUAGAACAAAAUAUUGCGUCGGUCGAAGAACCUCCUACUUUUAGAAAUAGAUAUGAUGAUUUAGAUGACGAGAUGGGUGAAGCACUUGGUCUUCAAUUUUGUAGCAAUAAUGAUUUUGAUUCAUAUAUUUCUCAGGACUGGGACUGUAUUAGAGAUGCAAAUGGACAACCACAACUUUUAGUAUGGUGAAAGACCCGUAUCAGACAAUUUCCAAAACUUUCAAGGGUGGUUCAAGAUUUGCUAGCGAGUCAAGCUUCUUCAGUUGCUUCGAAGCAAGCUUUUAGCACAGAAAGAAUUAUAAUUGGAGAUCAUCAAUAUUCAUUGGCGAAAGAUAGUUUAGAGAGUUCGAUAUUAUUUAGAGAUUGGAUCAAUGCCGAACAAAGAAAUUUAGGGCUCCCAAAAUUACCGCCCCAAAUUGAAGACAAAAUAGAUGAAAUAUAUGAGGAGAACGGUAAUGAUGGAAUGAAAGCAAUGGAAGAACAAGGAAAAAGAUCAAUUUCGAAAAAUAUAGAAAUAGAUAGGGGUGGGCAUAAAAUACCAAAAACUGAAUUACCGUACCGAACCAAAAAAUUUGGUAAUUGGUAUUCGAUAAUUUGGUAUUUGGAAUGGUAUUUGGGAGUAAAAUUUUAAAAUUACGGUAUUUGGGUUCGGAAUUGGUAAAAAAUAUUACUACCGUUUGGUAUUUGGUAUUUUUCGAAUAUCCAAUAAUAGUUAAGUGAUCCAUAGGCCACAUACUUGUGUGAAUAUUGCUCAAGCAAACUUUGAACUAUUUAACAUAGAUAUAAAGUAGACUCUUAACUUUACACAGCAAACUUUCUUGCAACCAACAUAUGACAACUUUUGACGAAAACAUCACGCUAGGAAUGAAAAUUAAGGCAUGGAAGGGAACAACAAAAAAGAAGUCUUCAUGACAUGAUACAUAACACCAUUGCUGGCUGCACUUGUCCAACUCUAAUAUUUCUAACAUAGGUCGGAAUAUGGCUUUAACCAAGUGGACUUGGUCAAGCCUUCUUAAUCCUUAUGUUCACAUGUCAACAACAGAUGGAAAUUAUCAAAAAACUCAGUACUUGGUAGACAACAUAACAUAUAUUUCUCUCCAUAUUUAUAAGAAGUAAUAUUAUGACUUUGCAUCACAUUUAUAUCCAGUUCGUUACAUUCAAUUCGUGUUAUAUACAGUUUGAUGUAAAUGUUAUUUGUGUUACAUCCAGUUCUCCCCUUCUUGAAGCUAGAUCAAACUACAAUAACAUAGGUUUUAUGUUUCAUUAAUUGAGCCACACAUAUCAAAGUGUAACAAGACCAAACAAAAUUAAUUUUUUCUGAUGUAAAACUGUGUAUUCAGAGGUGUAAAACUACCAAACAAAAUUAAAUUUUUCUCAAAACGUUGGUUGGAAAUGUCACACCCCUUUUUUACGUACUCCAAAAGAUUUAUAUUUUAAGUUCGAAAGGGUUUUAUUAUUUAAGUGACAAGAAAUAAAAAUUUGUUUCGGAAAAGGAUUAUUUACAUUUUUUAUUCAGAGUCGCCACUUGGCAUAAUCUGGUGUGCCAAGUCACCAUUGGAAAAUCCUUUUCAAAACCAUUUGACUCUUUAAACUGGUUUGCGAACAGAGACUCCGGCUAAGGAAUUCUGUUGACCGAGGGGAAGGUGUUAGGCACCCCUCAAUCCCGUAGUUCAACCACGGUCGCUUGGUAGAGUGUAUCAACUAUUUUGACACUACAAAAUGUAUAAACCACACAAAAGCACGCAAAACAAUCAAACAAUAAACAAAAAAACAAAAAAAAAAUCCAAAAUGUAAUGUCCAGUCCAAUUAUAUAGUCCGGAGUAUAUAAAAAAUGCAAAAAUAUAAAACUACGUAAAUUAAUUCUAAAAUAAUGCUCUACCCGACGCCUCGGGCCGUCACCAUGAACGUCCUCCGGGUACAUGAUACCUCGGGGCAUUCCUCGGUGAAUAAAUAUAUACAGAUACUUCGGGGCAUUCCCUGACCAAAUUAUACAAUUGAAUUAAAUGCGACAAAACAAAACCAUUCCAACACAUAUUUCAAACAUGUCAUCAAUCUACCAUGCCUAAAUUUGUCUACCCGAACCUACCAUUUACAUAUCCAAUUAGCGACCUAAAACCGUGACACUAUCGAGUUCACCAACAUUAUUCAUGUUUAUUCCAAGUUGAACAAAAAGUAACAAUAAAACUAUCAUUAACCCAAAUUCAUCAGUUUAUCAAUCUCGUAAUUCCACCCCAAUUUUUUAUUUUAUCAACCCAUUAAAACAUGAUCAAACUCAUUCCUCAAACCAACAUAGCCGAAUCACAAACGUCAUGAUCAACAUCAACAAAAAUUCAACAAGCAUAAUCACACCAUACAUAAUCACAAUCAAUUCAAUAAACCAAAAUAACUAAAGAGAGCGGGUUAAGGAGAUGGACCUCAAUAGCGCUUGUUUUCGUUGAUAAUAAAGAAAUCCAAAACAAACUGAAAUCCUCGAAUGAAAUUCUCACGACAAACCGAGCUCCAAACCACGAAUAUUGAACCCAGUAGAUUGCAAGAAAACCCCUAACAUACUGUAUCGAGCACGAAUCAAGAAAAUAGAAGAAUUUGAAACCCCAAAACAGAUUUCGGUGAAGAUCGCUAUUUCCGGCCCGAUUCAAAUACGAAAUUUGCAGAGAGACAGAUGAAUAUUCAAAAGCAAGAACAGCGAAAUGAACGAAACAAAUGAGACUCGCACACCAAUUGUCGUCGGAAUCAAUUCUAACCUUGCCGGAUUCAACCCAAAUAGACCGGAAUCAACCCGAAUGGAUGGAUAAAUCAAUGAGAAAUUAUGAACCAAAAAUAGACCGGAAUCGAAACACCCACUACGAUGCUAGAAACGAAUCCUGAACAGACCAAAUCUCCAAAAUUAGAACGCAAACUAAAAAAAAUAUACGAAUCUAAGCUUCGUGAGCUACAAAGAGCAGAAAACUGACGAACAUGGGAAUCAGAUUCCGGUGAAUCUGGAGGUUUCAGAGCCGGAAUCAACUGAAGAAUGAUAAAAAUGGACAGUUCUAGCUACGGGUUCACCAAAAACCUCGAACAACCUGGAUUCACUAUCGAGUUUCAUUCCUCUCCCUUUGAUUACACUCUCAGUCUUCUCUUUAUUCUGGGUCUGUGCGAUUUAGAGCAUGGGUAUAUAUGCGUGUGAUAGUAGAUGAUGAAAGAAAAAAGAAAAAAAAUGGAGUCCUUUUUGUAAAAAUGAAGAGCAAAUCGUGGGUUUCUUUUUGAAGAAGAUGAUUUUUUCCUUUUUUCAUGGUCCCCCUGGUCAGCUCCCUUUGUGUGUAUAUAUAUACUGUGAGGUCAGGGUGGGGUAGUGAGGUAGGGUAGGUGGGGUCACGUGGGGUAGGGUUAGGUGUCCUAAUUUAAUAGGUAGGAUUGUUAAUUAGUUAUAUAAAGAAUAAUUGGGGAUUGGGUUUGUUAGGGGUUUGUUAUUAUUAUUUGUUUGUAUUUUUGUGGGGAAUAAUUAAAAUGGGUGAGACACAUGGUAAGGUGAACUAAAUAAAAAAAAUUAAACUUCGGGAAGGAUAAAAUUAGGUGUCUACAUCAUGCCCUCUUUGAAUGCAAACACGAAGUGUUUUCAGACAAAGGAGUAGACAGCGAGACCAAAUUUUGACCCGACCAUUAUUUGAAGAAAGAAACAGGAGACAGAAGGACAACCGGGUCCUGACUCAAGACAUCCUACCUACCCAAGUUAUGAGAGAAUCAAGUGACAAGUAUCUCAAAGGAUUGGAAGGAAAUGGACUAUACCGAGUUGGGGAGUCGAGUGAGGUUCCAUCAAGGUUUCGGUCCUCGGCUCUGUCAUUACAUAAAAAAAUGAAAAUUACAAGUUAAAACAUAAAUGAAAUUACAAAAAUCCUAUCUAUACAACUUCUGUUGGCUCUUGACUCGACUUUUAUCACCCUAUUCUUCAGGCGGGCUCCUGACUUGCAAUUUCUUUCAACUUGUUGCUUUGGCUUUCAAUUGCUUUGCUUUGUUGCUUGGCUUUUCGUUUCUUCACCCUAUUCUCCAGGCGGGCUCCUGACUUGCUCUUUCCUCACCCUGUUCUUCAGGCGGGCUCCUGAAACCCAAAAUUAAAACUAGAACGAAGAUUAUCCCAAACAAAAAUUAUAGUAAAGUAGUAUUUCNNNNNNNNNNNNNNNNNNNNNNNNNNNNNNNNNNNNNNNNNNNNNNNNNNNNNNNNNNNNNNNNNNNNNNNNNNNNNNNNNNNNNNNNNNNNNNNNNNNNNNNNNNNNNNNNNNNNNNNNNNNNNNNNNNNNNNNNNNNNNNNNNNNNNNNNNNNNNNNNNNNNNNNNNNNNNNNNNNNNNNNNNNNNNNNNNNNNNNNNNNNNNNNNNNNNNNNNNNNNNNNNNNNNNNNNNNNNNNNNNNNNNNNNNNNNNNNNNNNNNNNNNNNNNNNNNNNNNNNNNNNNNNNNNNNNNNNNNNNNNNNUUUUUCAGGAGGGUCCUGAGCAGAAAGUAAAAUCCUAUUUUUCAGGAGGGUCCUGAACAUAAAGUAAAAUCCCAUUUUUCAGGAGGGUCCUGAGCAUAAAGUAAAAUUCCAUUUUUCAGGAGGGUCCUGAACAUAAAGUAAAAUCCCAUUUUUCAGGAGGGUCCUGAGCAUAAAGUAAAAUUCCAUUUUUCAGGAGGGUCCUGAACAUAAAGUAAAAUCCCAUUUUUCAGGAGGGUCCUAAGUAUAAAGUAAAAUUUCAUUUUUCAGGAAGGUCCUGAACAUAAAGUAAAAUCUCAUUUUUCAGGAGGGUCCUAAGCAGAAAGUAAAACCCCAUUUUUCAGGAGGGUCAUGAACAUAAAGGAAAUUCUCAUUUUUCAGGAGGGUCCUGAACAUAAAGUAAAAUCCCAUUUUUCAGGAGGGUCCUGAGCAUAAAGUAAAUUCCCCACGGAUGUGGACUUCCAAUAGUAGCUGAAUUAAGUGAAGCGAAUUUGCCCCCUAUUUCAACAAAGAAAAUUUGUCAGUUAAAAACUUAGUGGCGGCUUGUAGCUCUUGGCUUCUCAGGUAUCUGCCCCAGCACUCGUUCCUUUCAUCUUUGUUCCAAAUUUCUAACAUUUGCCCUAUCUUGCCGCAUCAUUGACCCGGAUUCAGAUUGAGGGAAAUGAGUUCUGACUUGAACAAUGGGUUUCUAUUUUACCAUGCCUCUGAGGUGCAUCCUUUUCCCAAAUCUGAAUGCUUCCAGGAAUCCACAGCCUGUCGAUUGACAGACUUCCUUUGUUUUGUGUUGAGUUACGAUCAUUUUUCUUUCUUAUGCUGUUCCUUGGCUUUUCCUCAUAUAAUUGAAAAUACUGGUAGUAAAUUUUGAAAUCCUUUCUCGCUUGUUUUGACACAGACUUGACUUAAAAUGUAAAGAAAUGAGGGUGACUUUUAUUUUGAUAAAUAACAAUAAAAGACAAAAAGCAUGAAUAUGUAAAUAAAAGAAAAGGGAAAUGUCCCAUAUUCAAAAAAAAACUUAUCUGAAUACGACAACCAACUCCAAUGAGUAUGACAUGCAUUUCGAAUUCAGCUGCCUGAUCUUCCUAUCCAAACUCCCCAUUUGUUGUUGAGUUCGUGCCUUUGCCGCUGAGCCACUUCUUCAAAUCCAUUGGACUCAUACAUCACAUUUGAUUGACGGCAUCUUAAAAGACUUUUGCAGCAAAUCUCUUUCUUUUCACUAAUAAGACUCUCUCAUUUUUAUUUCUCUCCACUCACCAUCACCUUAUGGUGCCUGCGAGGGUUUUCACCAAUAAGACUCUCUCAUUUUCAUUUCUCUCAACUCACCAUCGCCUUAUGGUGCCUGUGGGGGUUUUCACCAAUAAGACUCUCUCAUUUUGUAUUUAUUUCCUGAUUUCUUAUGCUGAGGAAGACAAGUGGUAUCUCGCAAUGUAUCAUCAUAUCCAUCGCAUGCUUGGCCUUAACAUUAUCAAAAAUUGAUCUGAAGGACUUUCUUUGGUUGUAACUUGGCUUUUGGAUAAGGUUAGAAAAGGAUGGCAAGAGGUUCAAACGAUCCUUGAAGUGGGGCUGGGACUUACAACUUUUGGAAUUGACUCAAACAACAUGCUAACUCAUGCCCCAAUUUUUGUUGACUGGGUGACUCUUAAAUCUUUAUUUGGUUGGCCGAGCCCGAAAUAGGGCAACCUACGUAUCUCACUCCCGAGAGAGGAGAAUCAGGUCGUACGUAGUUCCAUCAGCUUGUUCUUUGUUUUGAUUUGAUUGAUUUUUUUUUCUUUUAUUUUCUAACUCUUUCUUUUAUUCUUAUUUUCUUGACAUUUUUCUUUGACUCUAUUUUGAUUCCAAAAGAGGGAUAUGAAAAAAAAAUAAAACGAAGCUCAAACGGGUAAACAAAGGAUGACACAAUGUUUAGAUAGAAGAAUAAAAUGCCUUCAUCAUAUCAAUCUUAAAAAAUGCAAGUACUAAACAUGCAAUAAACUCAACAAAGGAUCAAAUAUCAUACAUAGUAUCUUUUGACCGCAUCAGCAUUGAUUGUCAUUUCUGCCAUUUUGCCUUCAAUAUCUGUCAAAUAUAAGGCUCCAUUGGGCAACACUUUCUUCACAACGAAAGGACCUUGCCAGUUAGGGGAGAACUUGCCUUUCGUGUCAACCUGAUGAGGAAGGAUACGUCUCAAUACCAACUGACCAACUUCAAAAUUCCUGGGAUAANNNNNNNNNNNNNNNNNNNNNNNNNNNNNNNNNNNNNNNNNNNNNNNNNNNNNNNNNNNNNNNNNNNNNNNNNNNNNNNNNNNNNNNNNNNNNNNNNNNNNNNNNNNNNNNNNNNNNNNNNNNNNNNNNNNNNNNNNNNNNNNNNNNNNNNNNNNNNNNNNNNNNNNNNNNNNNNNNNNNNNNNNNNNNNNNNNNNNNNNNNNNNNNNNNNNNNNNNNNNNNNNNNNNNNNNNNNNNNNNNNNNNNNNNNNNNNNNNNNNNNNNNNNNNNNNNNNNNNNNNNNNNNNNNNNNNNNNNNNNNNNNNNNNNNNNNNNNNNNNNNNNNNNNNNNNNNNNNNNNNNNNNNNNNNNNNNGGAGUAGAAUUUCGAUGUGCGAUCUUAAACUGUUGACAUACUUCUUGCAUCAAAUGACUAUUGAGAUUGGCAGCAUUGUCUGUAAUGAUCAUCUUAGGAAUUCUAAAUCUACAAAUGAUAUUGGCAUGAACAAAAUCUACCACAGCCUUCUUUGUCACUGACUUGAAAGUUACUGCUUCUACCCACUUUGUAAAGUAGUCAAUGGCUACCAAAAUGAACCUAUGUCCAUUUGAUGCCUUCGGCUCAAUCGGUCUAAUCAUAUCCAUUCCCCAAGCCACGAACGGUCAUGGAGCAGUCAUUGCAUGCAACUCAACAGGAGAAGAACGUAUCAGAUCACCGUGUACCUGACAUUGAUGACACUUUCAAACAAAUUGAAUAGAAUCCUUUUCCAUAGUAAGCCAGUAAUAACCUGCUCGAAGAAUCUUCUUUUGACAAGACAUGACCGUUCAUAUGCGACCCGCAUAGUCCAUAGUGUAUUUCAACCAUGAUUUUCGAGGCUUCUCUUGCAUCUACACACCUGGGUUUCAUGGUGGUUCGAGUCACAUAUACAAUGUCGAACUCGGUAAGCAAUAUUUGCCACUUUGCCAAUCGACCUGUCGGCAUAGGCUUCUGAAAGAUAUACUUCAAAGUAUCCAUGCGGGAGAUGAGAUAAGUAGUAUAGGAUGAGAGAUAAUGCUUUAACUUCUGUGCUGCCCAAGUUAAGGCACAACACAUUCUUUCAAGAAGAGUAUACCUGGCCUAAUAUGUGGUGAACUUCUUGCUAAGAUAAUAAAUAGCCUGCUCCUUUUUGCCCGUGACAUCAUAUUGACCCAGGACAAAACCAAAAGAAUUGUCCAUGACUGAUAAAUAUAAGAUCAAAGGCCUACCAGGCUCCGGGGGUACCAGCAUGGGCGGAUUUGACAAAUAUCUUUUGAUUUGAUCGAACGAUUCCUGACAUUUUUCAGUUUAUUUUACCGCAACACUCUUUUUCAGCAACUUGAAUAUGGGCUCACAAGUGGUUGUGAGUUGAGCAAUAAACCUGCUAAUGUAGUUCAGUCUACCAAGCAAACUCAUCACCUCCGUCCUAUUCUUGGGCGGGGGCAAAUCCUGAAUAUGCCUAAAUUUUACUAACACAAACCGUUGACAUAGCUCUUGCAAGCAUUGUCGAUACGGGAUGAGCUUCAAAUCUCGCGUCUCCCAAUCUCCUUGAAUUUGAUAGACGAGCAAAUCCAAAUCUCCUAACACCAAUAAUUCUUGGACUCCUAUAUCAACAGCUAACCUCAAACCAAGAAUGCAAGCUUCAUACUCUGUUACUGGGAAAUGUUGUCCCGAUUCAGAGAUAAGAACCGCACCUAUUCCGACUCCUUUUAUAUUGACAGCUCCAUCGAAGAACAACUUCCAACCUGGAUCAACAUCUAUAACGACUUGAUCGACACACGACACUUCUUCGUCAGGAAAAUAUGUCUUCAAUGGCUCGUACUCUUCAUCGAUGGGAUUCUCAGCAAGAUGAUUUGCCAAGGCUUGGGCUUUCAUGAAGGUUCAAGUCACAUAUACAAUGUCGAACUCGGUAAGCAAUAUUUGCCACUUUGCCAAUCGACCUGUCGGCAUAGGCUUCUGAAAGAUAUACUUCAAAGUAUCCAUGCGGGAGAUGAGAUAAGUAGUAUAGGAUGAGAGAUAAUGCUUCAACUUCUGUGCUGCCCAAGUUAANNNNNNNNNNNNNNNNNNNNNNNNNNNNNNNNNNNNNNNNNNNNNNNNNNNNNNNNNNNNNNNNNNNNNNNNNNNNNNNNNNNNNNNNNNNNNNNNNNNNNNNNNNNNNNNNNNNNNNNNNNNNNNNNNNNNNNNNNNNNNNNNNNNNNNNNNNNNNNNNNNNNNNNNNNNNNNNNNNNNNNNNNNNNNNNNNNNNNNNNNNNNNNNNNNNNNNNNNNNNNNNNNNNNNNNNNNNNNNNNNNNNNNNNNNNNNNNNNNNNNNNNNNNNNNNNNNNNNNNNNNNNNNNNNNNNNNNNNNNNNNNNNNNNNNNNNNNNNNNNNNNNNNNNNNNNNNNNNNNNNNNNNNNNNNNNNNNNNNNNNNNNNNNNNNNNNNNNNNNNNNNNNNNNNNNNNNNNNNNNNNNNNNNNNNNNNNNNNNNNNNNNNNNNNNNNNNNNNNNNNUGAGUUGAGCAAUAAACCUGCUAAUGUAGUUCAGUCUACCAAGCAAACUCAUCACCUCCGUCCUAUUCUUGGGCGGGGGCAAAUCCUGAAUGGCUUUGAUUUUCGAAGGAUCCAAUUCAAUUUCCCGACAGCUGACUACAAACCCCAACAGAUUUCCAGAUGGAACUCCAAAUACACAUUUUGUCGGGUUGAGUUUGAGAUUAUACCUGCGAAGCCUUUCAAAGAACUUUCUUAAAUCUUUAACAUGGUCGGCCAGACUUUUUGACUUAAUAAUCAUAUCAUCUACGUAUACCUCAAUCUCUUUAUGCAUCAUAUCAUAAAACAUAGUGUUCAUGGCUCUCAUGUAUGUUGCUCCAGCAUUCUUCAAACCGAACGGCAUCACUCGAUAACAAUAGGUCCCCCAUGGUGUGAUAAAAGACGUCUUCUCCACGUCUUCAUCAUCCAUAAUGAUCUGAUGAUAUCCGAUAUAGCAAUCCACAAAAGAGGCAACCUCGUGUUUAGCACAGUUGUCUAACAAAAUAUGGAUGUUGGAAAGUGAAAAAUCAUCUUUUAGACUUGCUCUGUUCAAAUCACGGUAAUCAACACACACUCGAAUUUUGCCAUCUUUCUUUGGUACGGGAACAAUAUUGGAUAACCACAUGGGAAAAUGAGCCAUUCGAAUUACUUUGGCUUCAAGUUGUUUCAUGAUUUCCUCUUUGAUUUAAUACUUACAUCAGUUUUAAACUUUCUCAACUUCUGUUUGACAGGAGGGAACGCGGGAUCAGUUGGCAAUUUGUGAGCCACUAAUUCAGUGCUCAAACCAGGCAUAUCAUCAUAAGACCAUGCAAAAACAUCCUUAUAAUCAAUUAAUGCUUGAAUCAUUCCAUCUUUUAGCUGUGGAAAAGCAUGCACACUGAUUUUAGUUUCCCUAAGAUCUUCUUGAUCACCUAGAUUUAUUCGCUCAGUCUCAUUCAAAUUAGGAUUCAUUUUGUCUUCAAACUAUUCCAACUCUUUGCUUAUUUCUUCCAGUGCUUCUUCUUCAUCGUAUUCCCCAUCCUGUUUCAUUACAUCUUGAUUAGUUUAGAUUUUAAGAUCAGGCUAAAAAUUUCGCAUGCAUGUCAUGUCAUUAGAAUCAGUAUAAAGAGAACUGUGUAAAAAAGAAAAACAAAAUAUAUUAGACACAAAACAAAAGGGACAUUGCUUUUCAUUAAAUAAAAAGAUAGAAGGGCUUAAACAAAGAUGCCAACAUAACAUUAACAAACUAAAAUCUAAAUUACAACCCUAAAAUAACUUGGAUAAACAGAAAGAAAAACAAAAUAAACUACCAAAACUCCCUCCUGACGGGGAGAGGAGUGACUUUCCAAUUAUUGAGCUGGACAGCUGGACCUAUGAAUUGCACGUCUGCCAUACUGGUACCUUCUCCUGCUUCGACCAUAUCAACUUCAAUAAAAAGGUUCUGGAAGUCAUCAACCAAUUUAACUUCAAAUUCCACAUGCUUCGUGACACCGCUCUUAACAAAUGAUUCACUGAGUAGUGGCAUUGGGCGAGGGAGUGAGCAUGUUUCUUUUUUCCUUUCCUUGGUUUUCUUUAGAUUUUCAGCCGUGGGCUCAAAUCCCAGACCAAACAUGCCCACGUUCUCACUCUGACAUAUGGAAUGAACUAUACCGUGCAGAGACGCUCCCAAACCCUUUCCUGGCUCAAAUCCGUAUUUCCAAAAUUCACUCACCAUCAUGAUAGAAGCGGAAGACAAUUGCGGUCCCGGUAUAACCUGCUAUUCAAGAAUACGAUUCACUGGCACUGUAUCAAAAAUUUGAUAGACGAAUGUCUCCUCUACGUUAUUUGCUUCAAUAAGAGACAAAGCAGAAUCUUCCCCGACGAACAAAUCUCCUUCACCGUGAAUAACCACUUCUUGCCUGUCAUGUUCAAACUUAAUCAUUUGGUGCAGUGUAGAUGCAACCGCCUUGGCCUUGUGGAUCCACGGCCUUCCUAACAACAGAUUGUAAGGGGAGUUUGUAUUCAAUACUUGAAACUCUAUGGCGAACUCGACAGGCCCUAUGAUUAAUAUUAGUUCUAUUUCGCCAAUGGAGUUUGAUUUUGCACCAUCGAAAUCCCUAACACAUACAUUAUUGGGCCUGAUCCUCUCAGCACCAAUAUUCAACUUUUGCAAAGUAGAAAUAGGGCAGAUAUUUGCACCUGAACCUCCGUCAAUCAUAACAUGAGUGAUGUAGAACUCUUCGCACUUCACUGUAAUGUAAAGGCCCCGGUUAUGCCCUGUACCUUCAACAGGCAAUUCAUCAUCAGAAAAGCUGAUUCGAUUCACCUCAAAAAAUUUUCCAACUAUUUUCUCAAGCUAAUUUACUGUAAUCUCUCUAGGAACAUAUGCUUCAUUUAAUACCUUCAGUAAAAUAUCACGAUGCUCCUUGGAGUGCAAAAACAAAGAUAAGAGGGAAAUUUGAGCAGGGGUUUUCUUCAACCGGUCUAUUAUUGAAUACUCUGGCAAUUUUAUCUUUUUCAAAAAUUCUUCGACUUCUUCUUCGGUGAUAGGAUUUUUGAUAGAUGAUGGUCCACUCAUAAUUGGCUUGGACUUUCUUAAACUUUCAGGCACGAAGCAUCUUCCUGACCGAGCUAAACCCCCUACCUCAUCUACAUCUUCCACUACUUCUUUCCUGUGAUAGGUCAUCACAGUUCGUCCAUAAUUCCAGGGAACCUUUUUCGUAUCAACUAUCGGAGGUUGGGUCACCGGUUUGAGGACAAUAGGCGUUGCUAGUGCUCCUUUCACAGUCAAGAUGGGCUGACUCAGAGCUCCUACCACUGUUAACUUAGGUUUAUCCUGAAUUAAAUCAACAUACCUUCUAGCGCCUUAUACUGUGAUCAGGGGUUUCUUUGUGCUUUCUUGGGCUUUAUCUUCUCUCAUUCCUUCCUGGCUCAAUGACAUUGCUUGCAAAGACUCCGCUACAUUCACUGAUUUCUCCUCAAUGGUCUGUAUCUUGACAAAAGGUUUAUAACACCUUGAAGACACUUUCCCAUCAUAUAUCAAUUCUAACAUAUUGGCUUCAUCAUGGGUUGGCAGCGGAUUCUGGUUAAUGUUUGGACCCUCCGGGGCCUGGACCAGCAUCUGAUUGGUGUCAAUUAAAUCUUGGACAGCUCUCUUUAAAUGCCAGCAUUUCUCGAUAUCAUGGCCUGGCAUAUCAAAAUAGUACGCAUACCUUAAAGAAUAAUCGAGAUUCCUCAGCGGUGGAUUUGAAAGCCUUCCUUGAAUUGGGCUUAAGACCUUCAACUUUUUUAACCUAUCAAACAAGCUAGCAUAUGACUUCCCAAGAGGUGUGAAUUGAUUUUUGACCGCCCUCCCUUUCUUAUACUCGGGCCUAGGUUGAAAACCAGGUCUGGAGGGAUUUUGGUAAUUUGGUGGAGCAAAGAGGCGAUUUUGUGGAGCUUGCGUGCGCCACUGCGGGUAAGAAGGGGUUUGGUCAUAUGGUUGUGUGCUGUAUACUGGGUACGGGGGUGGUGAAAUGGAAUAUAAAGGGUUUUGUAGAGGGUAGUAAUGAUGGGGAGGAAUAUAUGGAGCUUGGGUGUAGACUUGGGCUUGGGAUUGGGGAUAGGGGGGAGGUGGUCUUUUAGGAUAGGAAUGGGUUCCAGCUACGACAGUCGCCAUGUCCUCUUUUUUUUUUUACCUUUGAAUGCGCCAGAUCCACCUUGAAUCACUUGUAUGGUGGCUUUUAAUGCGGCAAAACUCACUAUUCGACCGGUCUUGAUUCCAUCAUCUAUUAUCUCCCCCAUUUUGAGGACUUCGAUAAAAGAUUUUCCCAUUGCCGGAAGUAAGUGUUGAAAUAGGUCUUAUCCUGUGCCUGAAUGAAAACUUCUACCAACUUACUUUCUUUCAUUGGAGGCUUUACCCUGGCGGUCUGUUCAUGCCAUCUUAUCGCGUAUUCCCUAAAACCUUCAUUGCUCUUUUUCUUCAUGUUGACCAAGGAUUUUUUGUCCGGAAUUAGGUCGAUGUUAUACUAAAAAUAUUGAACAAAUUCAGAAGCUAAGUCAUCCCAGCUGUUCCAUUUAUCGAUAUCUCGAUCGAUAAACCAUUCUGAGGCCAGAUCAGAAAGACUCUCGCCAAAGAAGGCCAUGAGCAGCUCCUUCCUUCCUCCUGUAGCCCUUCAACUAGUUGCAAUAACGUCUCAAGUGUGCCACGGUAUCACCGUGUCCUGCAUACUUCUCGAACUUAGGCAGUUUAAAACCAAGGGGAAGGUUGAUGUCUGGGAACAUGCAAAGAUCUUUAUAGGAAACACUCCUAUAAUCUCCGAUUCCUUGCAAAUUCCUCAUAGCCUGUUCUAAACUUUUCAAUUUCCAGGCUACGAUAUCCUGUUCCUCUGUUGCGAUAGGUUUCUCCGUAUCAAAUGGAAAUGCAGGCGGCUGAGUGUACCCAUACGGUUCAUUCAUUUGCAAAGUAGGCUCCGGGGCAUAAUACUGACUAUCUGGAACCUUCAGUACUGGCUCACUAGCAGACCUAGGAAGCCUUAUUGUGGGACGCAUAACAUAUAUGGGAGUUUCAUGUGGUGGCGGAUCCACGAAUACCGGUGUGAUCGAUGGCACUGGCUGAGCAGCGGGUCUUGACUGGGGAGCUGCCAAGGGCACCCCAGAACUGCCAAGAUAAUAAUGUCGCAGAGUGAAUCCUGGCGCGUGCUCAGGUGACUCAAUAGGAGUAGAGAAUUGCGCCUGAGAGAGCGGUGGGCAAUUAGAGAUAUUCCCAAGACCUUCAGGGAGCGGAGGAGGAGGCAUUCCGCUGGCCCAUGCCCGGUGCAAAUCUAUCAAUUGUUGUCUGAGCCUUACUACCUCAUCAUUGUGUUCUGAACUUUCUUCCCUGUGAUCCUGAUCCGGGUGAAUGAGCGAAUUUUCAAUGUCUCUGCUAGCCAUAGCGAGCUUUGCUUUGGAUCUAGUGAAGUAUGGGUGACUAACCAGAGUACUGCAAACCUACCACUGUUAUCUGAAAGAACAUGCUCAUCAAAGAUGACAUCCGUUAGGAUUAGGGCACACAACAAGCAUGGGAAUCACAUUGGUAAAAUUGUCCUAAAUUCAUGUUCAUUUCUACCAGUUUUUUAGGGUAGCGAGGUCAUUUCAACAUUAUCCCGAUUUUUAUCUACACUCUUUUUUUUCGUAUCCAUCUCUAUUCUUUCCACUUCUCCCGUUAUCUAUCUUUAUUUUAUCAUUCUUUAUGGCUUUUGUUUUUUUUUUCUUUAAAAGAGAAAAGAUAAUGAAAAACAACGAAACAAAAGGAUUGAACCAAAAAGUAGGUUACCUACGUAUCAUGUUGUACAUGAAUCAGAUCUUGCGUAGUUCAGGCAGCUUAUGCAUAAACAUCACACAAUUGAAGGUUUUUUUUUCACGAAAAAUGAAAACAAGUAAACAAAAGAAAGACGUAAUAUCCUAACAUUUCGAUGAAAGACAGCAAAACAUACAACGAAUUUAGGACCACUUUAAAACUAAACAACAAAUACAAAACAACAUUCUAAACCCCUAACGACAUACGUGCAAUAAAGACCCGAAUAUCAAAAACAACUUGACUCCGACUUAACACAGACACCAACCUACAAUGACAGAAACAUAAAAGACUCAAAACUACAUAAAGAUAAGACAUGCUCUUUCAAACGGGUGCUCUGUGUGACGUACCCGGCUGAGAUGAACCCAUCUGUGAAGUCCCCACUUUUCCACUCAGACUUUGCAACAUAUCCUACAACGACGUUUUGAUACCCAAAAACAAAUUUAUUGCCCGUAUCCCCGCCUCUUGGAGAGUACACCCGCAAAGGUUUCUCUGAUACCCAUCCACAGUUGUGAUCAAACGUGACAAUUGAACUCUCAAAAACUCCACCUUGGCACCCGGAUCUUCCUGCUCAUCAUCCUCUACCAUGAUUUCUUCCCGUAUUUUCCCUCUAAGUUGGGCUGGUAAGGGUCUACUAAUGCCACGGGGCAGAGAUUGUAUCCAGAUUUCAUAGUUUUGAGUGCAUCCUGGAUUUUCCUCAAGAGUAUCGACACCUAGCUUUAUCGCGUUAUUCCAGAAUUGCUCAUAUUUGCUUUCCCCCACGGCUUGGUCUUUAAAGUACUCUACAUCCUUUAGAAGGUCCAUUAUUGGGGGGACGUCUUGCAUCCUACCCAACUGAUGCAUCACCCUUCUUAGACUGUAAGACCUAGUGCAGUUAAGUCCUAUCAAAACUAGAAAGAGUUGCAUUUGAGAUCCAAUCAAGAUUUUCUUAGGACGAAACCACAUAUAGCACCAAAGAAUGUUGUUCGGAGUUCUUGAUUCGAGAAAUUCGAUCCAAGAAUUGACUCUAAUAGGAAAAGAAAAUUUGUCAAAACGCAUUCUUUCUUACAUGGCUUGUACUAGAUCAUUCAAACAACGGCCGAUCACAUCUUCUCUAAUCAAAGAAGGAGUAUGCAAGUGCUCCAUCAUCCACAACUGCAAUAUCAGAUUACUCCCCUAAAAAAAUCGUACCCCUCCUUUCACUUCAGUUAAAAAGCCUUAUAUAUUUCUGUUUAAAUCAUUGUACAAUGGUGACCUCAUCUUUUUUCUUGAAUAAAGCUAUCACCACUGAUUGUAGACGAGUAUUGAUACACCUCUCAUCUAACGGGAACACUAAGAUACCCAACAAAGCCAGACAGAAAACCUCAAGACGACGUUGUUCCCAGAUUUUUUUGGUAGUACAGAAUUCAUCCCAAAAGCAAUCAAAACCCUCUAAAGACCCAAAUCUAGCAAACAAAUAGUCCAAGGAAAUCCAAGAUUGUUUGAGACAUCCCAGAUGCUUGUUAUCUUUUAAUCCACAGAAUCGAAGGAAUUUCUUACGAGUAUGAUUGCGGGCUAAAAUCAUCUGUUGACCCAUGUAAGUCAACCGAAACAAACGAGACACUUCUGCCAGGGUAGGAGUCAAUUCACAACUUCCGAACCUAAACACCAAAUUAUUUGGAUCCCAGAAAGUCAACGCAACUUCUAUUAGAUCCGGACGAGGCGUGAGAUCCAUAAGUGCUACAAGAUUGCCUAACACUUUCCUCACUUCGUGCUUUUCAGAGUAAUUGAACGUGCCCCACCACUUGAUCAACUUUUUGGGUAUCUUGACAACCAUAAGGACUCUAGACUUUGUGGACAAAUCCAUCCUGUAGUAGCAGAUAAGAAAUUAUCUCAAAAUUUGAUAAGAGCAAAAGGUUCCCAACCAAUCGGAAUUUGAUGCGGACAUACGUCGAUGGGACAGACCGCUUCAUGACUCCAAAUCGCCGAACAGUAACGCUGAGUAAAAUUAGCCUACUUGGCUAACAACUCUAGGUUACGAGGUAAAAGACCUAGCCUAAAACUAAGACGAAGGCCAAAAUAAAGGUUAUCGGACCCACCGAGGGUCGCCUACGUAUCCCGCCCCAAGGGACGGGAAUCAGGUAUACGUAGGUCGUCCAGAUUGAACACUUAACGAUUAACUAAUAAAUUGACCCUAACUUAAGAGACAGCCAAAAACAAACGAAUGAAAACUUUUGGAUUUUAAACGAGACAUUUCAACUAAGACUGACACCACCAAUUAUGAAAAAAAUCUUUUUGGUAUUUUAUUUUUGACAAAUAAGUAGAAAAGGCAAACAAAACCCUCUUUUUUUUCAUUCAUUUUUUUUUGUUGAACUUACGAUACUUUGAGAAGAUAAAUGCAAAACGUAAAAAAAAUCUUUUUGAGUUUUGGAUCGUGAAGAACAAAAGCCAUAAAGAACUCUAAAAUAAACUACGACACUCCUUUUGAUUCAUUCUUUUCAACUCACUUUUUUUCUUUUUUUUUCACACUUUACUUCUAACACAUGUUUUCCCCAAAUCGGUCCGUCAAAUAACCACGUUACUCUCAAAGAUGCAACAUUUAGCACGUAGGGAUGCUUUAAAGGUGAGUCUCCUACAAAGGACCGUGUGGGCCCCGCUAGGUCUCAAGAUGAUGCACAUAAGAAUGACAUAAAGGCUGACCUACGUUUGUGGUUUACUAACAAGGCCGUUCGGGGGAGCAUAUGGUUGAUAGUGGCUGCUUUGCUUUCCACCUACUCCAUACAUCCAACGGCUCCCCCCUAAGAUAAAGGUGACUCAACUAGAGUUCGUGCGCACGACGUGCGCUCCGUGACUUGUUGCGGAAAGAAUGACUCGGGUUAUGCACAUGAUGUCAAAUAUAAAAACGGUAACACAUAGGAUAAAUACUGUAAACAAAGAGCACGACAAUACACAAAAGUGAAAACACAAACAAAAAUCACAAACAACGCUUAUACACUCGUAAUGCCAAACAAAGCCGAUACGACUCCAAAAAAAUCUCGGAUUCUAAAACGUCCCCAGCAGAGUCGCCAGAGCUGUCACACCCCUUUUUACGUACUCCAAAAGAUUUAUAUUUUAAGUUCGAAAGGGUUUUAUUAUUUAAGUGACAAGAAAUAAAAAUUUAUUUCGGAAAAGGAUUAUUUACAUUUUUCAUUCAUAGUCGCCACUUGGCAUAAUCUGGUGUGCCAAGUCACCAUUGAAAAAUCCUUUUCAAAACCAUUUGACUCUUUAAACUGGUUUGCGAACAGAGACUCCGGCUAAGGAAUUCUAUUGACCGAGGGGAAGGUGUUAGGCACCCCUCGAUCCCGUGGUUCAACCACGGUCGCUUAGUAGAGUGUAUCAACUAUUUUGCACUACGAAAUGGGGGCAUUCCCCGGCCAAAUUAUACAAUUGAAUUAAAUGCGACAAAACAAAACCAUUCCAACACAUAUUUCAAGCAUGUCAUCAAUCUACCAUGCCUAAAUUUGCCUACCCGAACCUAGCAUUUUCAUAUCCAAUUAGCGACCUAAAACUGUGACACUAUCGAGUUCACCAACAUUAUUCAUGUUUAUUCCAAGUUGAACAAAAAGUAACAAUAAAACCAUCAUUAACCCAAAUUCAUCAUUUUAUCAAUCUCGUAAUUCCACCCCAAUUUUCCUUUUAUCAACCCAUUAAAACAUGAUCAAACUCAUUCUUCAAACAAACAUAGCCGAAUCACAAACGUCAUGAUCAACAUCAACAAAAAUUCAACAAGCAUAAUCACACCAUACAUAAUCACAAUCAAUUCAAUAAACCAAAAUAACUAAAGAGAGCGGGUUAAGGAGAUGGACCUCAAUAGAACUUGUUUUCAUUGAUAAUAAAGAAAUCCAAAACAAACUGAAAUCCUUGAAUGAAAUCCUCACGACAAACCGAGCUCCAAACCACGAAUAUUGAACCCAGUAGAUUGCAAGAAAACCCCUAACGUACUAUAUUGAGCACGAAUCAAGAAAAUAGAAGAAUCCGAAACCCCAAAACAGAUUCCGGUGAAGCUCGCUAUUUCCGGCCCGAUUCAGAUACGAAAUUCGCAAAGAGACAGACGAAUAUUCAAAAGCAAGAACAGCGAAACGAAUGAAACGAACGAGACCCGCGCACCAAUUGUCGCCGAAAUCGAUUCAAAACUUGCCGGAUUCAACCCAAACAGACCGGAAUCAACCCGAAUGGAUGGAUAAAUCAAUGAGAAAUUAUGAACCAAAAACAAACCGGAAUCGAAACACCCACUACGAUGCUAGAAACGAAUCCUGAACAGACCAAAUCUCCAAAAUUAGAACGCAAACUAAAAAAAAUAUACGAAUCUAAGCUUCGUGAGCUACAAAGAGCAGAAAACUGACAAACAGGGGAAUCAGAUUCCGGCGAAUCUGGAGGUUUCAGAGCCGGAAUCAACUGAAGAAUGAUAAAAAUGGACAGUUCCGGCUACGGGUUCGCCGGAAACCUCGAACAACCUGGAUUCACUAUCGAGUUUCAUUCCUCUCCCUUUGAUUACACUCUCAGUCUUCUCUUUAUUCUGGAUCUGUGCGAUUUAGAGCGUAGGUAUAUAUGCGUGCGAUAGUAGAUGAUGAAAGAAAAAAGAAAAAAAAAUGGAGUCCUUUUUGUAAAAAUGAAGAGCAAAUCAUGGGUCUCUUUUUGAAGGAGAUGAUUUUUUCCUUUUUUC